AUUAAAAGAACAGUUUGCUCGAAACCACCUCUUCUGCUACCGGGGAGAUGCUCCAUUUGCAAAGUGUUUGCCUUACAAGCGCAAGACCUGAGUUUGACCCCUUGAAUCCUGAAUCCUGAUUGAGAUCAGAGCACGGGAGGCCACUAUGCAGCACUGGUGACCCAGGAGUGACUGGAGUGAAAGGGAGGGGAAUUUACAGAAGAGGCGGAUUCAUCCUGCAGCUGAGACUUCUGGCUCUUAGCCAGCAGCUCUGCCAGGAGACAGAGUCAC